rnacentral:antisense_RNA from 1 species
CUUCACCGAACCCAGCCACAACGGCCGGUCCCCAGCCCGCUCCCGGCCAUACGUGGCCAGCAACGCCUGCGCCUC